ensembl:scaRNA
ACUGGAGGACUAAUCAGAUGGAGUCCGAAGAGUGAGACUCGGUUAAUACUAGCCUCCUAAAAGAAAAGGAUUGGAGAGAGCAGUCCUACUUAUAGAAAAGCAAAGGGCUGACUGCACUGUCCGACAUUA